UACGUAGGAGGCGAGCGUUGUCCGGAUUUAUUGGGCGUAAAGAGCGCGUAGGCGGCUAGUUAAGUCUGGUGUGAAAUCUCCCGGCCCAACUGGGAGGGGACACCGGAUACUGGUUGGCUUGAGUGCGGCAGAGGGAUGUAGAAUUCCCGGUGUAGUGGUGAAAUGCGUAGAUAUCGGGAGGAAUACCAGUGGCGAAGGCGGCAUCCUGGGCCGUAACUGACGCUGAGGCGCGAAAGCGUGGGGAGCGAAC
rnacentral:rRNA from 1 species